CCUACGGGGGGCUGCAGUCGAGAAUUUUUGGCAAUGGGCGAAAGCCUGACCAAGCGAUGCCGCGUGCGGGAUGAAGGCCUUCGGGUUGUAAACCGCUGUCAGUGGGGAGGAAAGCUUUGUGAAGAGCAAGGCUUGACCUAUCCGCAGAGGAAGUGUGGGCUAAGUUCGUGCCAGCAGCCGCGGUAAGACGAACCACACAAACGUUAUUCGGAAUUACUGGGCUUAAAGGGUGCGUAGGCUGCGCAGUAAGUUGGGUGUGAAAUACCUCGGCUCAA
rnacentral:rRNA from 1 species